AAUACAUAAACAGAAUUUUAGUGUUUUCUACAGGGCCCUGCACUUCACUCUUUCCCUCCUGCUCCCUCUGCAGCCCUACCAAAAGAUAUUUUAGCACUCUCAUUUGAGUCCCCUUUUCAUUUGUUAGUACUGGCUCACCCAAUCCCUAGACAGAGCACUGGCAUUCUUCCCCUCAUGAUCUUAGAAGCCUGAUGAGUCAUGAAACCAGACAGAUUAGUUACACCACAAAUUGAGGCUGUAGCUGGGGCCUUACCCUGCAGUUCUUUUAUGCCUCCUUAGUACAUUUUGUUGACUGUUUGCCUUGAUUUUCAUUUUCUAUCCCCUUCGGGAGCUCUGCUGCAAUAGAUCUAAAGUUGAGCUGCUUUUCACUCCCAUGAAUGCCUGUCUCCUUUUUCACCAUUAAUAGACAGAGCUGUUUCUUAUUAAUGGCUUCCAGAUGGGUAUCUCCUCCUCCAAUAUCACCUGAUGUGUCUUAACAUAUUGUCAGGCUGAUUGUAUUAAAAGAUUGUUCCUUAAGGAUGGGACAGUUUAAGGCUGUAUCCCUGCCACCUAAGCAGAAUCAGGUCUUCGAGAUCAACACAUUUUCCUAAUCCCAAGAUGUUGCCUUUUACAUUCUCAGAAGCAAGCAGAGGCACGUGAUUCUCGAUGACAAUACUGUCACUAUGCUAAAUACUGCUGUACAGUUUGGAUUUUUUUUUAAUGUAGUUAAGGUAUGGAGUAUAUGUUUAUGAAUUAACUCUUUCUAGGUUGUGCCUUCCAUAAUCCAUGCAGUGUGUCAUGCAUUUUAACUCUUGUAGCUUUGUACAUAAGGAUAAAGGAUAAACAUAUUGGCAUAAUGUUUUAAACAUUUCUCCAAAGUUCCAAAUUAUAAAAUUCCUAUUUUAGAAUUUAUUUUAGGAGGAUGAUUGUUCUACUAAUCUCAUUUGUGUUUUAAGGUGUUAUAUAAAACUAACAUGGAAGAAUUGGUCAAGAAACUUUUAUAAAGUGAAAUGUGUACUGCCUUUAGAGAUCAUUUGACUUGGCAUGUCUUUUGCAACACACUAACUUUGAGUAGUUUUGGCACCAGCUAUGUUGUGGAGUCAUUUUGAAAGGAGUCAUUCCAGUGAGUAUUGGAUUGUUUUGAAUGCUACUGAAUAUUUUAAAUGCAGAUUUUUGGUGUUCCACAAAGCAAAACUGUCAAGCUUCAAACUAAAAAUUGAAAACCUGAGGUAUUUCAGAAGGACUUGUUAAGAAAAUUUAGAGACCAUACAGUUGACAUUACUGAGUAUCAACCAGGUGAAAAGAAGUGCUUGCAGUGGUUCUUUUGAGCACUAUAGUAGCUUGUUACAAAGAUUUUUCCACAGAUACAAACUCUAAUCCAUAAUUCGUAGGUGUAUAUGUAACACUUUAUAAAUGGAUGAAGCUACAAGCAUGGUUGGGCUUGUUACUGUGCUUGUAUUUAUGUGAAAACUUGGCAAUAAACCUAUGUCCUAAAAUAGUCAAAGUGUGGAAUGACUUUUAAUCUCAUGGCUUAUCUGGAACAACUAUGUUGACAUUUGUCCUAAUGGUGAAAAACAAAGUGGG
ensembl:lncRNA